rnacentral:lncRNA from 1 species
CCCGCCCCGUCAGGACCCGCCGCGGCUGCCCCUGUCCCCCCGUCCCCGAGGAGCGACGCCGAAGAAGCGAGAGCGACUCACUCAUGGGAGCGCGGCGGGCGAGGCCGGCGACACCUCCGGCUUCCGAGGCGCCGGCGAAGUUAAUUGCACUGAAGUUCAAGUUGUCUUUUCACCCAUCAGGAGUGGGCGUUUAAAGGAAGGAGAGCGAGGAGGAGGAGGGGGAGGGGGGAGAGCCUCUCGCUCUCGCUCGCUCUCGCACACACACACACACACACACAGCCACAGGCACACACACACACACACACACACACGCACACACACACACGCACACAGACGCGCACGCCCGCCCGCUCCCGCUCUGUCUCAGCAGGAGGAGCCCGGCCGGAACGCACCAGGGCAGCACCAGGCACAACUCUCCACUGCCUCCUUGCUGAUCUCUUCUGUCUGCCUAACCAGCAUGCUCCUGUUGUCCGAGACCCGUCUCCUUUAUUUGUAUCACACCCCUGUCUGGCUGGUGAGGAAACUGUUGAAUCUGCAGACUGAAACUAUCAGAAGCCUUUCCUGAGGUGCCCCUUACUGAAAUGUUACUGUGGCAUAAUGAUUUGGAAAUAAGCUUUUGUGUGAGAAGAGCUAUCAGAUCCUCUGGGAAACAUUACAGAUACUUUCCAGUUCCUUUCAGACAUGUAAAUAUGCUUAGACUUAAGCAGAGAGUAGAGUUGGGGAGUGGAGUAGGGCAGGGUGUAGGGUGGGGUUAAAAACUUCCUCAUAGAUCCUGGAACCAAAUAAAUAUGUGGGUUGUUAUUUUUUUUUGUUUUUU